rnacentral:lncRNA from 1 species
CCCGGGUGGCUGAAAAUCUCCCCAAAGAGAUAUAUGCCCAGGAUGGGGCUGAAUAAAAAGCUAAUAAUAAUAGCCACCACCUGUGGAGAGCUUCUCUUGGACCACGCAUUCUGCUAAGUCCUUCUCUUGUAUGAGGACCAGUUGUGCCCAGAGAACCUUCUCUGUCUCCUCUAACCAUGGGAUAAAAGGAGAUUUCCACAAGAGCGGCUCAGGGACGCAGCCCAUCUCUUAAGAAGGAGGCUCUGAGAGGGACAAGACCAUGGAUGCAGCACAUGGCCACAAGGCAGUUUCAAGAUGCCCAUGUCAGGCAGAGGAUGGCUCAGUGGUCUCUAACCCACCUAACAUUUCAUGAACUUUACUCCUGGUCCCGCUCCCAAAUUAGACACUGGAGAUAAUGGAUCACUAUACUGCACUGAAGACUCGGAGGGGUUGAGCCGCUGGAGCCACGCAAAUUCAGACACCUCUUCCGCCCCAGGUCACUCUACUCGCCCACGCUGCCUGCCACACCCAUCCGGUUGUGCGGGACACUCCCCGCGUUUCUUCAGCGAUUCUUAUCGGGCUCCCUCCUUGUUCAAUAAAGGUGUCAUUUCUGAGCAGGGAAGGUGUGAUCUGGGGCCAGAAUGAAUGGCCCUGGUGACUUCUUACCUGAUUCAUCCCACACCAGUCAGAAGGGGCUGUGAAGGCAGCAGCGAAGGAGCCACACAUGGACGUGGAAUGGGCACGCUGACCAUCAUGGUCACGACUGCAAGAAAGCAGGGCUGCGUGGGUUAAUUGGCUGUGUCUGAGGGUCACCCCUGCACAAGGAGGAUGAUGACGACUGCCCUGUGCAACCCUGGGUCAUCUCAGGGGAGAGCCAUUCCCAGGUUCACAGCAAGCACUCUUUUACUCAGAUGGGCCACCUGCAUCAGGCCCCAAGGAAGCACUUAUUAGUAGAAGAAAAAAAACAAAAACCCAGAAAACAGCCAGUGAGACUAUUUUACAAACAAGCGAAGAGCAGCAACUGAAAGCAACAAUAACUACAACAUAAAUCCCUCUGCAAAUAUUUGGGAUUUCAUUUCCACUAAGGAUAAUGAUGGCGUAGAAGGCAUGUCUGUGGGAGUUAUGCACACAGGGAAAAAGGUGGUGAAAAUAAUCAACCAAAAAUAACAAAAUUCAAUUAAUCAAAACAGAACAAAAUAAAAUGAGCCAAACAGCAUAUCUGAAUAUAAGCAUAAUAAUUGUCGUUGGACAAACCUUUGUCAAAUCAAAUUGGCUUCUAGCACACGGGCUGAUACUUUGUGAUUCAAGUGGUGUUCUACCCACAUAAUUCAUUUAGUUGCAAAGAAUGUAACAAAUAAUGCAAUUAUUCCAGAGGAUCACGGUGAGACAUCUAUUUGGUGGUGCCUUAAGCAGAGUGCCCUGAUUCAGAAGAAUUAGACCAAUCUCUGGAUUCACAGCCACUCAUGAAAACUGUAGGCCGGGCACGGUGGCUCAUGCCUGUAAUCCCAGCACUUUGGGAGGCCAAGGCGGGUGGAUCACGAGGUCAGGUGAUCGAGACCAUCCUGGCUAACAUGGUGAAACCCCGUCUCUACCAAAAAUACAAAAAGAAAUUAGCUGGGAGUGGUGGCGGGCACCUGUAGUCCCAGCUACUCGGGAGGCUGAGGCAGGAGAAUCGCUUGAACCCAGGAGGUGGAGGUUGCCGUGAGCCGAGAUCACGCUACUGCACUCCAAUCUGGGUGACCGAGCAAUACUCCGUCUAAAAAAAAAAAGUAAUAAUAAUAAUAAAAUAGGAAACUGCAGUAACUCGGGACAUCUGGGUUCCUUGUCUUUUGUCAAAAUCACAGGGAAUUCAACUCACUGAAUCUAUUGGUCAAUUCAAUUCCGCCAUUGGUCAGUAUGACUCGGCUUUUGACAGAGAGUUUUACCCAAAGACUUGCAGAACUUCCUUCCUGCAAGAUUUCAGAAGCACAGCAAGCAUUGCAAGAGGAAACUACCUUAUAAAUCAUACAAACCCAGCAUCGUGUUCUUUGCUUGUCCUUGCCUGAAUUUACUGGAAAAUCAUGUUGUGAAACCUAAAUGCAAAUGAACCUUUCUUAUUGCAAAUUAAAAACUAAAUCCAUUUUCAACUGAAUUCAAUGGGAAAAACAAGAAUUAUUUUCCUAAAAAGUAAAUAUCCACCACUCCGUAAUAAUUGUGAUCCGCUGUGGCUUAUGUGUCGUGUCUCAGGACAUGGACUCGGUCCUCUGCAUACCUUACCUCUCAUCCUGCAAUAAUCCUGAACAGGUUCCCAUUAUCCCCAUUUUAGAGGUAAGAAAAACACAGCUCUAAGGGUCUAAGUAACAAUCCCAAAGCCAGAAAUCAGUGCAAUCUUUCCUUGUAGGUUCCAUAAAGGAAGACUCCUCAUUGCUCGCUCAGGGUAAAUGUCUACUCUUUGCAAAUGCCAUUCUUAGCAAUCCUUUAAAAACAGUAACUCCUAGAUUGUAGUACUGCUCAAAGUUUCUAAGGAAACUCACAAGCUUAAAGAAAUGGCCGUGGGGUACUUGGGUAAUAGCUUCCCCACUUUCUUAUCCAGGAGCCUGGCUUCCAGGUGUUACCCUAGGCUGGUCAUGAAGAUACGUCCACCUUUUUUUUUGUUUUAAGUUACAGAGUUGCAAAUAUUUUUAAUAUUUUAAAUUGAUAAACCCAAGUUAUUUGAAUGCCAUCUUUAAAGUUUUUGAUUUGUUUUGCUUGUUUGUGCCUUGUCUUGUUUUUAAAACUUUUAUUUUAGGUUCAAGGGUACAUGUGCAGGUUUGUUAUAUAGGUACACUCCUGUCACGGGGGUUUGUUGUAUAGAUUAUUUCCUGAUCCAGUUACUAAACCUACACAUCCUGAAAAGGCAACAUUUCUGAUUCCCUAAGUGCAGGGAGCUCAGUGGGUGGGGCACAAUUGAUUAAUGGUGACCCAGCAGCUGCAGGCAUGCCUUCCCCUCUUAAAUCCUAUAAACCUUUCUCCCAGGGCAGAGAAUGGGACUGGCCUUGUUCCCACAGCUCCCUCCCCUUGCCAUCCUUGAGCCUUGAGAAGGAGCUGCUUACACAGCGAAGAAGGCCGGAAGGUCUGUGCGACAUUCUUUGGUACCAUCUGUGGACAUUACUGUUCCAUGCAGCCGAGGCUCCGUCCAGCGUUCACUGAUCUUACUGUACCUCCCCUCAGAUCUAGGGGAACGUGCUGGGAGCCGCUUCAGAAAUGGGGGACUUUCUUUUUUUUUUUUUUUUGAGAUUUAAAAAACUUUAAUCUCCAAAUUAAGUAUUUCUUUAUAGAACUCUGUUUUAGACAACAAAGAAUGGUAACAUAGUUAAGAGCCCAAACUCUGUGGUCAGGUACAUCUGAGCUAAUGAAUAUACUUAGAAUUCCUGGCAUGUGGUGAGCACUUGGUAGACAUUAUUAUUAUUGUUAUUAAUAAUACCCCAAAUCCAUCCUUCCUCCCAGUUAAUUUCUUUUUUUUUUUCUAUUAUACUUUUAAGUUUUAG